rnacentral:lncRNA from 1 species
CGUUUCAUCAGCACGGGCAGAGAGAGGAGCUCGCUCAGUUGUACAGCUGUUUCAUCUGUUGCUGACUGCACCAUAGGAUCCACAGGAAAAGUGUAUGAUCUUGGAAUCACAUGGUGCAAGAGAUGGGAAACUGGUAGUUCUGACAUCAAAUCGUAACUAUCUUGGUACUUUUCGAUACAGUACUGAUCCGAUAAUGCUUUCAAAUAAGCUUGUUCUUUCUUCCAUGCAUCUUCCUCUCCCCCUUCCUCAUCCUUAGUCUU